AUAUUCAUUUGACGUUUAGCUGCAGAAGAAGCACCGGCUAACUCCGUGCCAGCAGCCGCGGUAAUACGGAGGGUGCGAGCGUUAAUCGGAAUUACUGGGCGUAAAAGCGCAUGCAGGUGGUUUGUUAAGUCAGAUGUGAAAGACCCGGGGCGUCAACCUCGGAAAUUGCAUUUUGAAAACUGGCAAACUAGAGUACUGUAGAGGGGGUAGGAAUUUCAGGUGUAGCGGUGAAAUAGCGUAGAGAUCUGAAGGAAUACCGGUGGCGAAGGCGGCCCCCUGGACCAGAUAACUGACACUCAGAUGCGAAAGCGUGGGGAGCAAACAGGAUUAGAUACCCUGGUAG
rnacentral:rRNA from 1 species